rnacentral:tRNA from 1 species
ACAAGAGUAGCUCAGUUGGUUAGAGCCAUAUUAGGGUCGCAGGUUCAAGUUCUGCCUCUUGUU